ensembl:miRNA
UUUAGUGUGAUAAUGGCGUUUGAUGGUUUGGACACAAACACCAUUGUCACACUCCACAG